AGGAGGAGGAUGAGAACGUGCUCAAAGUUGCUGAUGCCAAGAAGGCCUUCGAGAAGCCCAAGGGGAAGGCGCCGGUGCCCGGCGUGGCCAGGAAAGCACCUUUGGUCCAGCUUGCUCAGGGAGAGAAACAGAACAAGAUGGCAAAAGGAUUCAAAACGGGUUGAAUAAUGAGGACGAGACUAGGAUAAUGGGCUAAGUGUAACGUGGAGCGCCACAGGAAUCACAGCGCCAAGCCUCACGCUGCUGCUCAAAGCUCCCACUCGCUGUGUGGGGCCUGGGUGGGUGUUUCUGCUAUGCAGAGCGAUAGGAAGCGUCCAUCCAGGAUGCUCGUGGUGGAAAUAAAAUCCAGCUUGCUCUCUUCACUCUUUA